UAAUGUUUCAACUUAAAUUUCAGCUAAAGUUUUUGUGCGACCUAGGUGCUUGUGAGUUGUGAAAUAGAAAACAAAGGUAUCCAAUCCAAUAAUGCAAGCUGUGUCAUCCAAAGCAAAAUAGUUUCUACUGUCAUUUAAUGUUUAUGAUAAUAUUUCGGGUUCACUACCCUUUCAAAUUGUUGUAAAUCUUCAAGAUAUUGAUGCCUUCCCCAGAUCCAAUUCUUUGCUGCUUUCUCUUCUCUUUUGCAGAUAAGAUCAAAAUAAUGCUGCCACUCAAGAGAUUGUGGUGACCACCACUUAGUUCUAAUUUAGGACAAAUUAACAUUGAUAGAUUUGAGGGCGAGAUUCUCACCACCGUUAUAGUUGUUCGGAAACUGACAGCAUUAACCAACGCUCACCGGUGGGCACACUGGGAUAAUUAGGAGGAUGAGGAGGGCUCUGAUGCGACUAUACAUGUACUUCCGCUGCGACACACCUGCGCACCCACACCUCACUCACCACUGGAUUCUGCCCAGGGAAAGCUGCUGGAGUAAUCUGGUGUUCAAGCUCAUUUUAUUCAUUUCGUGCCAGCUAGUGAAAGCCGAAAUUUUUUUUU